rnacentral:tRNA from 1 species
GGCUGUGGCUCAGUGGUAGAGCACUUGCCUCGCAUGUAUGAAGCACUGGGUUCGAUCCUUGGCGCCA